rnacentral:tRNA from 1 species
GCUCCGUUGACUCAGUGGCCCGAGUGCCGGCCUGUCCAGCCGGAAGCCGCGGGUUCGAAUCCCGCACGGGGCGCCA